rnacentral:rRNA from 1 species
CCUACGGGUGGCAGCAGUGAGGAAUAUUGGUCAAUGGACGAGAGUCUGAACCAGCCAAGCAGCGUGAAGGAUGACGGCCCUAUGGGUUGUAAACUGCUUUUAUACGGGAAUAAAAUGUGACACGUGUGGGAUUUUGUAUGUACCAUAUGAAUAAGGAUCGGCUAACUCCGUGCCAGCAGCCGCGGUAAUACGGAGGAGCCGAGCGUUAUCCGGAUUUAUUGGGUUUAAAGGGAGCGUAGGUGGAUUGGUAAGUCAGUUGUGAAAGUUGGGGGCUCAACCGUAAAAUUGCAGUUUAAACUGGCAGUCUUGAGUACAGUCGAGGUGGGCGGAAUUCGUGGUGUAGCGGUGAAAUGCUUA